GAUGAACGCUGGCGGCGUGCCUAAUACAUGCAAGUCGAGCGAACAGACGAGGAGCUUGCUCCUCUGACGUUAGCGGCGGACGGGUGAGUAACACGUGGAUAACCUACCUAUAAGACUGGGAUAACUUCGGGAAACCGGAGCCAAUACCGGAUAAUAUAUUGAACCGCAUGGUUCAAUAGUGAAAGACGGUUUUGCUGUCACUUAUAGAUGUAUCCGCGCCGCAUUAGCUAGUUGGUAAGGUAACGGCUUACCAAGGCAACGAUGCGUAGCCGACCUGAGAGGGUGAUCGGCCACACUGGAACUGAGACACGGUCCAGACUCCUACGGGAGGCAGCAGUAGGGAAUCUUCCGCAAUGGGCGAAAGCCUGACGGAGCAACGCCGCGUGAGUGAUGAAGGUCUUCGGAUCGUAAAACUCUGUUAUUAGGGAAGAACAAAUGUGUAAGUAACUAUGCACGUCUUGACGGUACCUAAUCAGAAAGCCACGGCUAACUACGUG
rnacentral:rRNA from 1 species